rnacentral:lncRNA from 1 species
AGCCAAGAUUCCCUCAGUCCAGUACCUCCUUGCUCCUUUCCAGUCUUCUGUCCUGGGAGGCUGAGAUUUAUGGGUCUUCCUUGCCCUCCACUACCAAUUUCUAUUUCCUUGACUAUGCCCCUCUCUACAAGGUCUUUUUGGUUUCACUGCCUACAUAGCUUUAGGUAUACUACCUUUCCGCAUUGUUGGAGCAUGAGGCAGUUGGGCCAAAAUGGCAUUAAAGCCUAAAGUGAGGCAUGUUCAAGAUGCCACAGUGACCAAAUUCACGCCAUCCAGGAUGCACCUGACUCUGGAAGCUGAUGAGGCUAAUGAUGCUAACGUGUAUCCUGGAUCCCUGAGGUCCGCUCCCAACAUCAGCCCUUCAGCCUCAGCUGGGUUCUAACAAAACCCCCUGCCACCUCCACGUUGAUCUUUGUUGUCAUUCUCAUCGCAGUGCUUUGGUAUGGGAGGUGUUAGAAAACUUAGAGACUAGAAUUGUGGAGGUUGGGACCUUGUAACUCCAAUAAGCACUGAAGAAGGUGUCUCUACAGUCCCUUCUUCCAUGGAGCUGGAACCCCCGCACCCACCCCAAGUGUAAACCCUCUCCUCCUGCAGGUUCAAGCUCCUCAGUCCCAGGGAACUAAAACUGAAUAAUGUGAGGAAGCAGUGAUGUUUCUGCUCAAACUGUGAUCUGGAUCCAGAAACUAGCCCUAAACAGCUCAUGGCUUCUCAGGAAGCUUUAUAAAAGGACUGUCUCACUCACAUUCUGCCUACUUUCCCAUCUUCCCUCCUGGGAAAAUGAAGUCCAGUUAAUGGAAUCAGCACCUUUCCUUCAUUCCUGGUAGAUUAACCCUUGGCAUUAAGCAGAUAGAUAUUUCUAAGAUUAUUCUACCAGAUUCAUGAAGGCUAAAGGGAAUUCCUUUUGAUUUUGUCCUUGUUACUUAGGGGUCAGGGAUAAGGAUGGUAGAGUUGAUUGAGGCCCUAGAUCAGGACCAUUGUCAGAAAAUGAAUGGCAUGGCCGGGCGCGGUGGCUCACACCUUAAUCCCAGCACUUUGGGAGGCUGAGGAAGGCAAAUCACAAGGUCAGGAGUUCGAGACCAGCCUGGCCAGCAUGGUGAAACUCUGUCUCUACUAAAAAUAAAAAAAUUAGCUGGGCAUGGUGGCAGGUACGUGUAGUCCCUGCUACUCAGGAGGCUGAGGCAGGAGAAUGGCUUGAACCCAGCAGAUGGAGGUUGCAGUGAGCCAAGAUCGUGCCAUUGCACUCCAGCCUGGGUGACAGAGCGAGACUCUGUCUCAAAA